rnacentral:rRNA from 1 species
UACGUAGGUGGCGAGCGUUACUCGGAAUCACUGGGCAUAAAGGGCGUGUAGGCGGGUGCGUAAGUCCGGUGUGAAAGCCCCCGGCUCAACCGGGGAAAGCCAUCGGAUACUGCGUGUCUUGAGUGCGGGAGGGGAGAGUGGAACUCUUGGUGGAGCGGUGAAAUGCGUAGAUAUCAAGAGGAACGCCGGUGGCGAAAGCGACUCUCUGGCCCGUAACUGACGCUGAGGCGCGAAAGCCAGGGGAGCAAAC